UCUGAGUGGGGAGACUGCUGACUGUGAGGCACACCUGUUCACAGCAGGUAACCAGGACUGCAGGGGACCCUGGCCCCGUUCUCCUUGAAAAUACCUUCAAAUUUCAUGGGAAUUGGAUGAAAUGAGCAGAGAACUAGAGGAGUGUGGCGCUGCUCCACAGCACCUCCCAAGGCCGCGUGCUUCGCCCCUCUUUGCCCUGCCUGAGCUACGGGGGCUGCACCUGCAGGCUUGUCUCCUUUCCCAUCUGCUGGCGUUGCACCAAGAGAGGGCGCUACUGGAGUGACCCAGAGGCCACGGCAGCAGGAAGACUCCCGUUGUGCCAUCUGGUUCACUCGUGCUGUCAGUGGGGGUUCCCGCGGCCAUAUGAAGCCACCUCUUCCCAACGGGGCCACUUCCUUGUUGGGACUGUUUCUGAAGAGCAGCUCCAGCCUGAACCUGACGAGCCCCUUCCAUCUGUGAGACACAGGUCCCACGAAACGUCGGAGAAAGAGACCACCAAGUGACCACUCAUGCAAUUGGCAGAAGGGGAUUUAUUGAACCAGCAUGCUGGGGCUCUGUGCCCACUCAAGAAGGGAAAGCAGCCCAGAGCCCCGAGCAGGGGCUGAGCACUGCUUAAGUACACUUUUUGGGGAGGGCGGAGGGCUUUGUAUACAUCAGAACAAAUCAUCAUGAGGCGCGGGAAAAUUGAACAACAACUCCUAAACAUGAUUGGUUCAUUCAUUGGCGGGAACAGGUCAGGCUGGAGUGAUAGGUCAUUCCUAAGGAGGGGGUUACAUUUAAACUGAUUGGUCCAGGCCCUGCAAUGCCUAUGUGCGACCACACAGAGCCCUAAACAACCAAAUUGUCAGGGGAAAUAUUUACUGGGCGGUUCUAAGCAUUGUCUUAACAGCUACAGAAAUUUUGGGUUUUGCAGGUAGCAUAGAAACCUAACAAUACCUCCUUUACAUUUUAACUCAGACCUUGCAGCUUAGAAACUUUUACAACACCCGGUCUUUUACCCUUUAACUUUUACGCUUUAACUUCAAUUUCUUUUACCCUUACAUAACCACUGCAGCCCUAUAAAUGUGUGUUAAAUGAGUCUGAUAAUUAAACAGUGGAGACAUUGCCCUUAAGUAGCUAAAACAGUGGUGAUAAUUGAAGUUAUGGGAAUAUCUGGUUGUCUGAG